rnacentral:rRNA from 1 species
UACGAAGGGGGCUAGCGUUGCUCGGAAUUACUGGGCGUAAAGCGCACGUAGGCGGCUUCUUAAGUCAGGGGUGAAAUCCUGGAGCUCAACUCCAGAACUGCCCUUGAUACUGAGGAGCUCGAGUCCGGAAGAGGUGAGUGGAACUGCGAGUGUAGAGGUGAAAUUCGUAGAUAUUCGCAAGAACACCAGUGGCGAAGGCGGCUCACUGGCCCGGUACUGACGCUGAGGUGCGAAAGCGUGGGGAGCAAACAGG